rnacentral:rRNA from 1 species
AUUGAACGCUGGCGGCAGGCUUAACACAUGCAAGUCGAGCGGAGACUUCGGUCUUAGCGGCGAACGGGUGAGUAAUACCUAGGAAUCUGCCUAUUAGUGGGGGAUAACGAAUCGAAAGGUUCGCUAAUACCGCAUACGUCCUACGGGAGAAAGGGGGGGAUCUUCGGACCUCUCGCUAAUAGAUGAGCCUAGGCCGGAUUAGCUAGUUGGUAGGGUAAAGGCCUACCAAGGCGACGAUCUGUAGCUGGUCUGAGAGGAUGGCCAGCCACACUGGAACUGAGACACGGUCCAGACUCCUACGGGAGGCAGCAGUGGGGAAUAUUGGACAAUGGGGGCAACCCUGAUCCAGCCAUGCCGCGUGUGUGAAGAAGGCCUUCGGGUUGUAAAGCACUUUAAGCGAGGAGGAGGGUUUUAGUUUAAUACACUAAAGAAUUGACGUUACUCGCAGAAUAAGCACCGGCUAACUCUGUGCCAGCAGCCGCGGUAAAGUG